UACAGAGGGGGCAAGCGUUGUUCGGAAUUACUGGGCGUAAAGGGCGCGUAGGCGGCCUUCUAAGUCGAACGUGAAAUCCCCGGGCUCAACCCGGGAACUGCGUCCGAUACUGGAAGGCUUGAAUCCGGGAGAGGGAUGCGGAAUUCCAGGUGUAGCGGUGAAAUGCGUAGAUAUCAGGAGGAACACCAAUGGCGAAAGCAGCUCGCUGGGACGGUACUGACGCUGAGACGCGAAAGCGUGGGGAGCAAACAGG
rnacentral:rRNA from 1 species